GAUGAAGAACGUAGCGAAAUGCGAUACGUAGUGUGAAUUGCAGAAUUCAGUGAAUCAUCGAAUCUUUGAACGCACAUUGCACCUCUCGGUAUUCCGGGAGGUAUGCCUGUUCGAGCGUCAUUUGUACCCUCAAGCUCUGCUUGGUGUUGGGUGUUUGUUCCGCCUCUGUGUGUGAACUCGCCUCAAAACAAUUGGCAGCCGGCGUACUUGUUUCGGAGCGCAGCACAUAUUGCGAUCCAGAUCAACGUACAGCGGCAUCCAAGAAGCCUUAUUUAACGCUCUUGACCUCGGAUCAGGUAGGGAUACCCGCUGAACUUAAGCAUAUCAAUAAGCGGAGGA
rnacentral:misc_RNA from 1 species